rnacentral:tRNA from 1 species
GUCCCCAUCGUCCAGAGGCCUAGGACGCGGCCCUUUCAAGGCUGAAACCAGGGUUCGAAUCCCUGUGGGGACGCCA